rnacentral:tRNA from 1 species
GGUUCGAUGGCGUAGUUGGUUAUCGCAUCUGUCUAACACGCCGAAGGUCCUCAGUGAGAGCCUGGAUCGAAUCA